UACGUAGGGGGCAAGCGUUGUCCGGAAUUACUGGGCGUAAAGCGAGUGUAGGCGGUCCGAUAAGUCAGGUGUGAAAGCCCUGGGCUCAACCCAGGAAGUGCACUUGAAACUGACGGGCUAGAGUAUCGGAGAGGUUGGUGGAAUUCUCGGUGUAGAGGUGAAAUUCGUAGAUAUCGAGAGGAACACCGGUGGCGAAGGCGGCCAACUGGACGAAUACUGACGCUGAGACUCGAAAGCGUGGGGAGCAAACAGG
rnacentral:rRNA from 1 species